rnacentral:rRNA from 1 species
CCUGACUGACCGAUAGUGAACCAGUACCGUGAGGGAAAGGCGAAAAGAACCCCGGCGAGGGGAGUGAAAAAGAACCUGAAACCGUGUACGUACAAGCAGUGGGAGCACGCUUAGGCGUGUGACUGCGUACCUUUUGUAUAAUGGGUCAGCGACUUAUAUUCUGUAGCAAGGUUAACCGAAUAGGGGAGCCGAAGGGAAACCGAGUCUUAACUGGGCGUUAAGUUGCAGGGUAUAGACCCGAAACCCGGUGAUCUAGCCAUGGGCAGGUUGAAGGUUGGGUAACACUAACUGGAGGACCGAACCGACUAAUGUUGAAAAAUUAGCGGAUGACUUGUGGCUGGGGGUGAAAGGCCAAUCAAACCGGGAGAUAGCUGGUUCUCCCCGAAAGCUAUUUAGGUAGCGCCUCGUGAAUUCAUCUCCGGGGGUAGAGCACUGUUUCGGCAAGGGGGUCAUCCCGACUUACCAACCCGAUGCAAACUGCGAAUACCGGAGAAUGUUAUCACGGGAGACACACGGCGGGUGCUAACGUCCGUCGUGAAGAGGGAAACAACCCAGACCGCCAGCUAAGGUCCCAAAGUCAUGGUUAAGUGGGAAACGAUGUGGGAAGGCCCAGACAGCCAGGAUGUUGGCUUAGAAGCAGCCAUCAUUUAAAGAAAGCGUAAUAGCUCACUGGUCGAGUCGGCCUGCGCGGAAGAUGUAACGGGGCUAAACCAUGCACCGAAGCUGCGGCAGCGACGCUUAUGCGUUGUUGGGUAGGGGAGCGUUCUGUAAGCCUGUGAAGGUGUGCUGUGAGGCAUGCUGGAGGUAUCAGAAGUGCGAAUGCUGACAUAAGUAACGAUAAAGCGGGUGAAAAGCCCGCUCGCCGGAAGACCAAGGGUUCCUGUCCAACGUUAAUCGGGGCAGGGUGAGUCGACCCCUAAGGCGAGGCCGAAAGGCGUAGUCGAUGGGAAAC